rnacentral:rRNA from 1 species
CGGAGGAUGCAAGCGUUAUCCGGAAUCAUUGGGUUUAAAGGGUCCGUAGGCGGUUUAGUAAGUCAGUGGUGAAAGCCCAUCGCUCAACGGUGGAACGGCCAUUGAUACUGCUAGACUUGAAUUAUUAGGAAGUAACUAGAAUAUGUAGUGUAGCGGUGAAAUGCUUAGAGAUUACAUGGAAUACCAAUUGCGAAGGCAGGUUACUACUAAUGGAUUGACGCUGAUGGACGAAAGCGUGGGUAGCGAACAGGAUUAGAUACCCUGGUAGUCCACGCCGUAAACGAUGGAUACUAGCUGUUGGGGAGCGAUCUCAGUGGCUAAGCGAAAGCGUUAAGUUUACCACCUGGGAAGUACGACCGCAAGGUUG